GCCACCAGGCCUGGCCCUAUUACUCCUAUUAUCUCAGUUUCUUCAAAACUUGUAUUUAGCAGUUAGUAGGCAUUCAAAAAACAUUUGUUGCAGGAAACUUUACUUUUAGGUUAUCUAGUCUACACAUUUAUUUUACAGAUGGCAUAAGUACGGUCUCAAAAUAUUAAGUCAGUUAUAUCCAAAGUCCAGCAUUUAAUCAGUAGCAGAGUCAGGAUAGAACCUAAUGUUACUAAUUUCCAGCCAAGUUAAAUUGACUUCUAUUUCUACAUUUUUCUUUUCUUUUUCACUCAUGAUGUGGUGCCCAUUCUCUGUCCCUCUCUCCAUUUCUCCUUGCUUUCCUUUCCACAAUACCUAUGCUGGCUACACACUGGGAAUCUAAAAUGAACAAGACACGUUUCCUACUUUUAUACAUGCCUGAGACAUCCUGCCUCAGCUGACCUCUCUGAACCCACCCCAGUCCUGCCUGCUUAUGGCUACCUGACUGCACUGGCUAACUUCUCUGCCAAGAUCUACGGUUGCCUUCCUUUUCUUCUAGCCUUUUUACCCUUACAAGCAUUUUUCAACCUCUUGAUUUAUUAGUCAUCCUCUGCCCAUAAAUCAGGAUUUCCUACCUAGACCUCCUAUCCUUUGGGUCCCUACAUCCUACUGUGGUGUCCCGGUGCAGUGGGAGGUCUUAGGCACAGCUUGAAAUUCUGUCCUUUUGGUGGCUUUGCAGGUGGCCACCUGCUGGAGAGUGCAUGUCUCCACUGCCUUCCUCAACCUCUGCAUGUGGAGUCUGCACUUGACAAGAUCAAUGCAGCAUUCCUGCCUGCUGAGUUUCCUGGAUUUGCUGAGCUAAACAAGUUCAUUCGCACCCAGUUCCACCUGGGAUGAAGAUCCAUCUACAGGGCUGGAACUGACAGGGAAAACUUUUCAUCCCAUCUGAGGUCACCUUCACUUACAGGAUGCUGGCUGCUGAUAAGUAUCCUAUCAGGAGAAGAAGAGAAAAAUAAUUUGACACUUAUAGCCUGUCUUGAAAGAUGAGAUUCACUUAUCAGCAAACCAGAUGAAGAGAAUCACUGAGCACAGAAAUGAGAUCUGAGCACACUAGAGCUCAACUAAUGUAUCCCUGCCCACACAGGGUUAGUCUCUACAAAUUGCCUAUUUCAGUUAUUUAGCCCCAUUUUUUUCCCAGAGAUGGUGUGUUUCGUAUAAUCAAUAGCUACAAAAUAAAAGCAGCAUCUGCCUUGC